AAUCCAGGGUCUUCUACGACCUAUUCCGAACUUGCACUCCGGACUAUCUGGACU
rnacentral:tRNA from 1 species